UUACGCCUACGGGGCGCAGCAGUAGGGAAUUUUCGUCAAUGGGCGCAAGCCUGAACGAGCGAUGCCGCGUGAGUGAAGAAGGCCUUCGGGUCGUAAAGCUCUGUUGCGGGGGAAAAAAGGCAGCAUCAGGAAAUGGGUGCUGACUGAUGGUGCCCCGCCAGAAAGUCACGGCUAACUACGUGCCAGCAGCCGCGGUAAUACGUAGGUGGCGAGCGUUAUCCGAAAUGAUUGGGCGUAAAGGGUGCGCAGGCGGUCCUGCAAGUCUGGAGUGAAACGCAUGAGCUCAACUCAUGGAUGGCCUUGGG
rnacentral:rRNA from 1 species